rnacentral:rRNA from 1 species
CAGCCGCCGCGGUAAUACAGAGGGUGCGAGCGUUAAUCGGAUUUACUGGGCGUAAAGCGUGCGUAGGCGGCUUCUUAAGUCGGAUGUGAAAUCCCUGAGCUUAACUUAGGAAUUGCAUUCGAUACUGGGAAGCUAGAGUAUGGGAGAGGAUGGUAGAAUUCCAGGUGUAGCGGUGAAAUGCGUAGAGAUCUGGAGGAAUACCGAUGGCGAAGGCAGCCAUCUGGCCUAAUACUGACGCUGAGGUACGAAAGCAUGGGGAGCAAACAGGAUUAGAUACCCCCGUAGUCCCUGUCUCUUAUAU